UCGGCCCGUCUAGUAACACGGACCAAGGAGUCUAACAUGUGUGCAAGUGCUCGGGGUUCACCCCCCAGCGCCUAAUUAACGUAAAGGGUACUUAGUAUCUUAGGUAGGAUUUUUCUUGCACUAUCGACCGACCAUGUAUUCUAAGGGAUCAAGGUUUGAGUGUGAGCAUACAUGUUGGGACCCGAAAGAUGGUGAACUAUGCCUGAGCAGGCCGAAGCCAGGGGAAACUCUGGUGGAGGGCCGCAGCGAUUCUAACGUGCAAAUUGAUCGUCGGAUUUGGGUAUAGGGGCGAAAGACUAAUCGAACCAUCGAGUAGCUGGUUCCCUCCGAAAUUUCCCUUAGGAUAGCUG
rnacentral:rRNA from 1 species